GGUUCGAUGGUGUAGUCGGUUAUCACAUCUAUCUCACAGUUGCCAUGCCAGAUGUUGAGCACAGAAGGUCUCCAGUUCGAGUCUGGAUCGAACCA